rnacentral:tRNA from 1 species
GCAGGGGCUCAGUGGUAGAGCGCAUGCUUAGCAUGCAGGAGGUCCUGGGUUCAAUCCCCAGAACCUCCA